rnacentral:sRNA from 1 species
UUUUCAGCCAGAUCUGGGAAAAGAGAGUUGCUCCUUGGUUCGUGGUCCAGAAGCCUCCAGGACUGGGGCAAGAAAAAGGCAAGAAGGCAUGUGAGAGCAAGUUGAGAGACUGCAAAAGCAUGAGAAGAACAUGUAAACGAUAUUCCUGGUUCCAGUUGAGCACUCUGAUCCUGUGUCAAGGCUGGACUGUGACACUAAGAAAAUGAAGGGACAAAAAAUGGAACAGAGACUGAAGGAAAGGCCUUCCAGAGACUACUCCACCUUGUGAUCCAUCCGGUCUACAGACACCAAACCCCAACACUAUUGCUGAUGCCAAGGUAUGCUUGCACACAGGAACCUGCUAUGUCUGUCUUCUGAGAGCCUCUACAGAU